rnacentral:rRNA from 1 species
CAGGCCUAACACAUGCAAGUCGAACGCCCUCGCAAGGGGGAGUGGCAGACGGGUGAGUAACACGUGGGAACAUACCCUUCGGUUCGGAACAACGCCGGGAAACUGGCGCUAAUACCGGAUACGCCCUUUUGGGGAAAGGCUUGCCGCCGAAGGAGUGGCCCGCGUUCGAUUAGCUAGAUGGUGCGGGUAACGGCCCACCAUGGCGACGAUCGAUAGCUGGUCUGAGAGGAUGGCCAGCCACACUGGGACUGAGACACGGCCCAGACUCCUACGGGAGGCAGCAGUGGGAAUAUUGGACAAUGGGCGAAAGCCUGAUCCAGCAAUGCCGCGUGAGUGAUGAAGGCCUUAGGGUUGUAAAGCUCUUUUACCCGGGAUGAUAAUGACAGUACCGGGAGAAUAAGCCCCGGCUAACUCCGUGCCAGCAGCCGCGGUAAU